rnacentral:rRNA from 1 species
AGUGAACGCUGGCGGCGUGCUUAACACAUGCAAGUCGCACGAGAACGCUUCUGCUUGCAGAGGCAAGUAAAGUGGCGCACGGGUGAGUAACACGUGGGUAAUCUACCUCCGAAUUGGGGAUAACGUUGCGAAAGCGACGCUAAUACCGAAUGAUAUCCAGGGAUUCUCGAAUCCCUGGAUCAAAGGUGGCCUCUUCAUGAAAGCUAUCGUUUGGAGAUGAGCCCGCGUCCCAUUAGCUUGUUGGUAGGGUAACGGCCUACCAAGGCUUCGAUGGGUAGCUGGUCUGAGAGGAUGAUCAGCCACACUGGAACUGACACACGGUCCAGACUCCUACGGGAGGCAGCAGUGAGGAAUUUUGCGCAAUGGGGGAAACCCUGACGCAGCAACGCCGCGUGAGUGAUGAAGGCCUUCGGGUCGUAAAGCUCUGUCAAGUGGGAAGAACCUGUAAAUGGUCAAUACCCGUUUACACUGACGGUACCACUGAAGGAAGCACCGGCUAACUCCGUG